rnacentral:tRNA from 1 species
GGGAGCGGAUGGGGCCUGGUGGCUCCUGCAGUCUUCAAAACUGUCCGUUGGGCGUUAAUCCGUCCAUGGUAGGUUCGAUUCCUACACGCUCCCGCCA